CCCAACCACUCUUCACAGCAACCAAAUCAUCGCCGGUUGAAAUGAAGGAAUCUUCAAUGCAGACAUUUGAGCUGGAAUCUAAGUCACAUAUUCAAGAGAUUCCAAAACUGUCAGUAGGCGUUGAUGUUUAUUCCUUAAGGCUGAUAAUGUUCAAGAAGGAUGCAUACCAGGAUCUACUCCGUCAGUGUUCGGAGAGUCAUAUGGAGCCAACACUGUCACAAGCUUUAUUACUACAUUGCUGCAAGAAAUAUAUGGUUACCUGCAGUAAACAGGAUGAAUGUUCCAAAAAGGAGAGUUGAGAAACACCGCAUUAGAAACAAGGAUAUCCCUGGAGUUCAUAAGCUCUAACAGGUGUGGUCUGGUGUGAAGAAGUCUCUUCUGCUUCCACAAAUUCCACCAGAUCUCUCCUUGACCAUCAAUUGUUCCAUUUUCUCCUGCAUGGGGGAAGAAGGAUCAGAAGAACUGAAAAGUGAAUGUUUGCAGAGAAUAAGAAAUGUCAUGACCAGAACAUUUUUGAGGAUUGCCAACCUGUUAUGAUGACAUCGCGAAUCCCAUUUGCCUGGAUGAAGCUCGCAUAUCUAUUGCCAGGAAACUCUCUUCCUCUUCCAUAGGAUGGCAAAGGAUCCACCAAGGGCCAGUUCCAUACAUCCUGCAAGCACCCACCUUGUUUUUAAGCUCAAAAAAAUGAACUUGAACAACCAAGAUUCAGACAGCUCCAGUAAGUUUGCUAUGACUCGAAGCUCCUGUUAAUGGAUCAGUGUAUCUGGAGCUAAGUAGCGCUACCUGAGUUGCCUUGAUGACUGCUCCCCUAGCCAAAUAGAGUGUCAUGUGGCUGGUGAGAUUGAAGCUUCCCGUGAGCCAUAUCCCUGCAGGAAUAUAGAGCAAUGUGCCACCUCUUCUCCUGACGUGCUGGAUUCUGUAUAUGGCCUUGUGGAAGGCCCAAGUGUUGAGCGUUUUCCCAUCUCCUACUCCACCGAAGUCACUUAUCGAUAUCACCUCCCGCCGCCUUCUCAUAGGGACUAUGCCGGCGCAAGUCGUUGCAGUUUCUGCUGCUAGACCUUGCGGUAGCAACACUGAUAGCAGUGCCACCAGCAACGCCAAGGCUUGCAUGAUGACAACUUCUAUGCCGAUGAAAGAAUUCCCAAAAAGACGAUGCAAGGAUGAUUUUUACUUAUCUGACUGAAAGAGGAUUUAAGGAAGCGAAAGGUUAUGCGAUUUUGCGGAAAUUAAGAAGUGAACUAGCUGUGGAUUUCCUGUCUCAGAAUGGUCCAAGUACAGGCUCCAAGAUGAAACUUUAGGCAUCCAAACAAGGGAGUAUAUGUGCUUAGAACUGCAAAAAGUUCUGUUUGUUUUUUUUUUUUUUUAACUUCAACAUCAGCUAGAAGUGUGAAUUUGCUUCCCGAGAUCAAACAAAAGAGAGGAGAGCUGUGAAAUUUAUUGGGGAAUCUAUAAGAAAGGACGACACCCACCCUCCAUUAAUGGACUC